AAAUUGGCCUUUUUAAGGGCCACCAAAUUAUUUAAAUCAAUCAACU
rfam:Fukomys damarensis contig126308, whole genome shotgun sequence.